rnacentral:rRNA from 1 species
UACGAAGGGGGCUAGCGUUGCUCGGAAUCACUGGGCGUAAAGGGUGCGUAGGCGGGUCUUUAAGUCAGGGGUGAAAUCCUGGAGCUCAACUCCAGAACUGCCUUUGAUACUGAAGAUCUUGAGUUCGGGAGAGGUGAGUGGAACUGCGAGUGUAGAGGUGAAAUUCGUAGAUAUUCGCAAGAACACCAGUGGCGAAGGCGGCCAACUGGGCCAUUACUGACGCUGAGGCGCGAAAGCGUGGGGAGCGAACAGG